CCCUUAGAUGUUCGGGGCCGCACGCGCGCUACACUGAAUGAAUCAGCGAGUGUAUGUCCUAGGCCGAAAGGUCCGGGUAACCCGUUGAACCUCAUUCGUGAUUGGGAUAGGGACUUGCAAUUGUUUCCCUUGAACGAGGAAUUCCCAGUAAGCGCAAGUCAUCAGCUUGCGUUGAUUACGUCCCUGCCCUUUGUACACACCGCCCGUCGCACCUACCGAUUGAAUGGUCCGGUGAAAUCUUCGGAUUGAGACUUUGAUUUCUUCACGGAAAACGCUGUUUUAAAAAGUUGAUUAAACCUUACCAUUUAGAGGAAGGUGAAGUCGUAACA
rnacentral:rRNA from 1 species